AGUCUCUGGAUAUAGACCCGAAACCAGGUGAUCUAGCCAUGGGCAGGUUGAAGGUUGAGUAACAUCAACUGGAGGACCGAACCGACUAAUGUUGAAAAAUUAGCGGAUGACUUGUGGCUAGGGGUGAAAGGCCAAUCAAACCUGGAGAUAGCUGGUUCUCCCCGAAAGCUAUUUAGGUAGCGCCUCGGACGAAUACUACUGGGGGUAGAGCACUGUUAAGGCUAGGGGGUCAUCCCGACUUACCAACCCUUUGCAAACUCCGAAUACCAGUAAGUACUAUCCGGGAGACACACGGCGGGUGCUAACGUCCGUCGUGGAGAGGGAAACAACCCAGACCGCCAGCUAAGGUCCCAAAUUACUACUAAGUGGGAAACGAUGUGGGAAGGCUCAGACAGCCAGGAUGUUGGCUUAGAAGCAGCCAUCAUUUAAAGAAAGCGUAAUAGCUCACUGGUCGAGUCGGCCUGCGCGGAAGAUGUAACGGGGCUAAGUAGUAAACCGAAGCUGCGGCAAUAUACUUUUGUAUAUUGGGUAGGGGAGCGUUCUGUAAGCGGUUGAAGGUGUGUGGUAACGCAUGCUGGACGUAUCAGAAGUGCGAAUGCUGACAUGAGUAACGAUAAAGGGGGUGAAAAACCUCCUCGCCGGAAGACCAAGGGUUCCUGUCCAACGUUAAUCGGGGCAGGGUAAGUCGACCCCUAAGGCGAGGCCGAAAGGCGUAGUCGAUGGGAAACGGGUUAAUAUUCCCGUACUUCUUACAAUUGCGAUGGGGGGACGGAGAAGGCUAGGUGGGCCUGGCGACGGUUGUCCAGGUUCAAGUGCGUAGGCUUAAGAGUUAGGUAAAUCCGGCUCUUUUUAAGGCUGAGACACGACGUCGAGCACCUACGGGUGUGAAGUCAUUGAUGCCAUGCUUCCAGGAAAAGCCUCUAAGCUUCAGAUUGUAAGGAAUCGUACCCCAAACCGACACAGGUGGUCGGGUAGAGAAUACCAAGGCGCUUGAGAGAACUCGGGUGAAGGAACUAGGCAAAAUGGUACCGUAACUUCGGGAGAAGGUACGCUCUUGAUGGUGAAGUCCCUUGCGGAUGGAGCUGACGAGAGUCGCAGAUACCAGGUGGCUGCAACUGUUUAUUAAAAACACAGCACUGUGCAAAAUCGUAAGAUGACGUAUACGGUGUGACGCCUGCCCGGUGCCGGAAGGUUAAUUGAUGGGGUUAGACUUCGGUCGAAGCUCUUGAUCGAAGCCCCGGUAAACGGCGGCCGUAACUAUAACGGUCCUAAGGUAGCGAAAUUCCUUGUCGGGUAAGUUCCGACCUGCACGAAUGGCGUAAUGAUGGCCACGCUGUCUCCACCCGAGACUCAGUGAAAUUGAAAUCGCUGUGAAGAUGCAGUGUACCCGCGGCUAGACGGAAAGACCCCGUGAACCUUUACUACAGCUUGGCACUGAACAUUGACCCUACAUGUGUAGGAUAGGUGGGAGGCUUUGAAGCACGUACGCCAGUAUGUGUGGAGCCGUCCUUGAAAUACCACCCUUGUAGUGUUGAUGUUCUAACGUCGACCCCUUAUCGGGGUUGCGGACAGUGCCUGGUGGGUAGUUUGACUGGGGCGGUCUCCUCCCAAAGAGUAACGGAGGAGCACGAAGGUGGGCUAAUCACGGUUGGACAUCGUGAGGUUAGUGCAAUGGCAUAAGCCCGCUUGACUGCGAGAAUGACAAUUCGAGCAGGUGCGAAAGCAGGUCAUAGUGAUCCGGUGGUUCUGAAUGGAAGGGCCAUCGCUCAACGGAUAAAAGGUACUCCGGGGAUAACAGGCUGAUACCGCCCAAGAGUUCAUAUCGACGGCGGUGUUUGGCACCUCGAUGUCGGCUCAUCACAUCCUGGGGCUGAAGUCGGUCCCAAGGGUAUGGCUGUUCGCCAUUUAAAGUGGUACGCGAGCUGGGUUUAGAACGUCGUGAGACAGUUCGGUCCCUAUCUGCCGUGGGCGUUGGAAGAUUGAAGGGGGCUGCUCCUAGUACGAGAGGACCGGAGUGGACGAACCUCUGGUGUUCGGGUUGUGUCGCCAGACGCAUUGCCCGGUAGCUAAGUUCGGAAUCGAUAACCGCUGAAAGCAUCUAAGCGGGAAGCGAGCCCUGAGAUGAGUCUUCCCUGAUACUUUAAGUAUCCUAAAGGGUUGUCGGAGACUACGACGUUGAUAGGUCAGGUGUGUAAGUGCUGUGAGGCAUUGAGCUAACUGAUACUAAUUGCCCGUGAGGCUUAACCAUACAACACCCAAGGGGUUU
rnacentral:rRNA from 1 species